GAGUGGACUCAUUCUCAGUUAUUCGGUGCAUCUUCUCCAAGGUUUAAAGCUUUAUUUGAGAUUUGAUAGACCUCUUUUCUUGAACUGAAGAUUUAAUAAACUUUGAUGUGCCUUAUUAUCAUGUUUCAUGCAUAUCUUGCUUUGGUGGCUUGAAAUUUUGGGCGCUUAUUUCUCUAUAUUAAUAGGUAAUUGAUACUUGACAACACCACCACAGAAAUAUGGUGGAAGAAAUAUUGACUCGAGUGCAGUGCUGAUGAUAUUUAUUACAUACAUUGCAUUGGAGAAGAAAGUACUCGUGGAGACCAAAGAAGUUCCUGUGAAUG
rnacentral:misc_RNA from 1 species